ACGGCUGGAUCACCUNCUUACGGGUGAGUAACGCGUGGGAAUCUACCCUUUUCUACGGAAUAACGCAGGGAAACUUGUGCUAAUACCGUAUGUGUCCUUCGGGAGAAAGAUUUAUCGGGAAAGGAUGAGCCCGCGUUGGAUUAGCUAGUUGGUGGGGUAAAGGCCUACCAAGGCGACGAUCCAUAGCUGGUCUGAGAGGAUGAUCAGCCACAUUGGGACUGAGACACGGCCCAAACUCCUACGGGAGGCAGCAGUGGGGAAUAUUGGACAAUGGGCGCAAGCCUGAUCCAGCCAUGCCGCGUGAGUGAUGAAGGCCCUAGGGUUGUAAAGCUCUUUCACCGGAGAAGAUAAUGACGGUAUCCGGAGAAGAAGCCCCGGCUAACUUCGUGCCAGCAGCCGCGGUAAUACGAAGGGGGCUAGCGUUGUUCGGAAUUACUGGGCGUAAAGCGCACGUAGGCGGAUCGAUCAGUCAGGGGUGAAAUCCCAGGGCUCAACCCUGGAACUGCCUUUGAUACUGUCGAUCUGGAGUAUGGAAGAGUAUGGAUUCNAUGAAAGNGAAAUCNAAUUUCGAGGACNCCNGUNANCUNAAGANUNNGGGCCGNCANCGGUGGAGCAUGUGGUUUAAUUCGAAGCAACGCGCAGAACCUUACCAGCCCUUGACAUCCUGUGUUACCCUUAGAGAUAGGGGGUCCACUUCGGUGGCGCAGAGACAGGUGCUGCAUGGCUGUCGUCAGCUCGUGUCGUGAGAUGUUGGGUUAAGUCCCGCAACGAGCGCAACCCUCGCCCUUAGUUGCCAGCAUUUAGUUGGGCACUCUAAGGGGACUGCCGGUGAUAAGCCGAGAGGAAGGUGGGGAUGACGUCAAGUCCUCAUGGCCCUUACGGGCUGGGCUACACACGUGCUACAAUGGUGGUGACAGUGGGCAGCGAGCACGCGAGUGUGAGCUAAUCUCCAAAAGCCAUCUCAGUUCGGAUUGCACUCUGCAACUCGAGUGCAUGAAGUUGGAAUCGCUAGUAAUCGCGGAUCAGCAUGCCGCGGUGAAUACGUUCCCGGGCCUUGUACACACCGCCCGUCACACCAUGGGAGUUGGUUUUACCCGAAGGUAGUGCGCUAACCGCAAGGAGGCUA
rnacentral:rRNA from 1 species